rfam:Nematostella vectensis strain CH2 x CH6 NEMVEscaffold_285_Cont22393, whole genome shotgun sequence.
CCUUCGAUAGCUCAGUUGGUAGAGCGGAGGACUGUAGAUUUAUAAUUGGGAUUUCUAGGUCGCUGGUUCGAAUCCGGCUCGAAAGA